rnacentral:rRNA from 1 species
CGCCUGGGGAGUACGGGUGAGGUAACGGCUCACCAAGGCAUCGACGGGUAGCUGGUCUGAGAGGACGAUCAGCCACACUGGGACUGAGACACGGCCCAGACUCCUACGGGAGGCAGCAGUAGGGAAUCUUGCGCAAUGGGCGAAAGCCUGACGCAGCAACGCCGCGUGGGGGAUGAAUGCCUUCGGGUUGUAAACCGCUUUCAGCAGGGACGAAAAUGACGGUACCUGCAGAAGAAGCUCCGGCCAACUACGUGCCAGCAACCGCGGUAAUACGUAGGGAGCGAGCGUUGUCCGGAAUUAUUGGGCGUAAAGAGCUCGUAGGCGGUCCAGUAAGUCGGGUGUGAAAACUCAAGGCUCAACCUUGAGACGCCACUCGAUACUGCUGUGACUUGAGUCCGGUAGAGGAGUGUGGAAUUCCUGGUGUAGCGGUGAAAUGCGCAGAUAUCAGGAGGAACACCAGCGGCGAAGGCGGCACUCUGGGCCGGUACUGACGCUGAGGAGCGAAAGCAUGGGGAGCAAACAGGAUUAGAUACCCUGGUAGUCCAUGCCGUAAACGUUGGGCACUAGGUGUGGGUCUCAACCAACGAGAUCCGCGCCGUCGCUAACGCAUUAAGUGCCCCGCCUGGGGAGUACGG